UCCUGACUGACCGAUAGUGAACCAGUACCGUGAGGGAAAGGCGAAAAGAACCCCGGCGAGGGGAGUGAAAAAGAACCUGAAACCGUGUACGUACAAGCAGUGGGAGCACAGGUUUACCUGUGUGACUGCGUACCUUUUGUAUAAUGGGUCAGCGACUUAUAUUCUGUAGCAAGGUUAACCGUAUAGGGGAGCCGGAGGGAAACCGAGUCUUAACCGGGCGUUAAGUUGCAGGGUAUAGACCCGAAACCCGGUGAUCUAGCCAUGGGCAGGUUGAAGGUUGGGUAACACUAACUGGAGGACCGAACCGACUAAUGUUGAAAAAUUAGCGGAUGACCUGUGGCUGGGGGUGAAAGGCCAAUCAAACCGGGAGAUAGCUGGUUCUCCCCGAAAGCUAUUUAGGUAGCGCCUCGUGAAUUCAUCUCCGGGGGUAGAGCACUGUUUCGGCUAGGGGGCCAUCCCGGCUUACCAACCCGAUGCAAACUGCGAAUACCGGAGAAUGUUAUCACGGGAGACACACGGCGGGUGCUAACGUCCGUCGUGAAGAGGGAAACAACCCAGACCGCCAGCUAAGGUCCCAAAGUCAUGGUUAAGUGGGAAACGAUGUGGGAAGGCCCAGACAGCCAGGAUGUUGGCUUAGAAGCAGCCAUCAUUUAAAGAAAGCGUAAUAGCUCACUGGUCGAGUCGGCCUGCGCGGAAGAUGUAACGGGGCUAAACCAUGCACCGAAGCUGCGGCAGCGACACUCAGGUGUUGUUGGGUAGGGGAGCGUUCUGUAAGCCUGUGAAGGUGGCCUGUGAGGGUUGCUGGAGGUAUCAGAAGUGCGAAUGCUGACAUAAGUAACGAUAAAGCGGGUGAAAAGCCCGCUCGCCGGAAGACCAAGGGUUCCUGUCCAACGUUAAUCGGGGCAGGGUGAGUCGACCCCUAAGGCGAGGCCGAAAGGCGUAGUCGAUGGGAAACGGGUUAAUAUUCCCGUACUUGGUGUUACUGCGAAGGGGGGACGGAGAAGGCUAUGUUGGCCGGGCGACGGUUGUCCCGGUUUAAGCGUGUAGGUGUGUGUUCCAGGUAAAUCCGGUUCACUUUAACACUGAGGCGUGACGACGAGGCACUACGGUGCUGAAGCAACAAAUGCCCUGCUUCCAGGAAAAGCCUCUAAGCAUCAGGUAACAUCAAAUCGUACCCCAAACCGACACAGGUGGUCAGGUAGAGAAUACCAAGGCGCUUGAGAGAACUCGGGUGAAGGAACUAGGCAAAAUGGUGCCGUAACUUCGGGAGAAGGCACGCUGACACGUAGGUGAAGUGAUUUACUCAUGGAGCUGAAGUCAGUCGAAGAUACCAGCUGGCUGCAACUGUUUAUUAAAAACACAGCACUGUGCAAACACGAAAGUGGACGUAUACGGUGUGACGCCUGCCCGGUGCCGGAAGGUUAAUUGAUGGGGUCAGCGCAAGCGAAGCUCCUGAUCGAAGCCCCGGUAAACGGCGGCCGUAACUAUAACGGUCCUAAGGUAGCGAAAUUCCUUGUCGGGUAAGUUCCGACCUGCACGAAUGGCGUAAUGAUGGCCAGGCUGUCUCCACCCGAGACUCAGUGAAAUUGAACUCGCUGUGAAGAUGCAGUGUACCCGCGGCAAGACGGAAAGACCCCGUGAACCUUUACUAUAGCUUGACACUGAACAUUGAGCCUUGAUGUGUAGGAUAGGUGGGAGGCUUUGAAGUGUGGACGCCAGUCUGCAUGGAGCCGACCUUGAAAUACCACCCUUUAAUGUUUGAUGUUCUAACGUGGACCCGUUACCCGGGUUGCGGACAGUGUCUGGUGGGUAGUUUGACUGGGGCGGUCUCCUCCUAAAGAGUAACGGAGGAGCACGAAGGUUGGCUAAUCCUGGUCGGACAUCAGGAGGUUAGUGCAAUGGCAUAAGCCAGCUUGACUGCGAGCGUGACGGCGCGAGCAGGUGCGAAAGCAGGUCAUAGUGAU
rnacentral:rRNA from 1 species